UACGAGGGGGGCAAGCGUUGUUCGGAAUUAUUGGGCGUAAAGGGUGCGUAGGCGGUCUGACAAGUCUGAUGUGAAAUCUAUGGGCUCAACCCAUAGUCUGCAUCGGAAACUGCCGUGCUUGAGUGUGGGAGAGGUGAGUGGAAUUCCCGGUGUAGCGGUGAAAUGCGUAGAUAUCGGGGAGGAACACCUGUGGCGAAAGCGGCUCACUGGACCACAACUGACGCUGAGGCGCGAAAAGCUAGGGGGAGCAAACAGG
rnacentral:rRNA from 1 species